GAGAAGCUCAACUCUUAUGAAUGCUUGUGUCCCAACCCACUUCCACAAGUGCUUAUUCAACCCCUGUUCUCCUUUUCCUUCAAUAGACGAUUCAGCGAUUCACCAGCAACUCACGACUGGCGGCUGAAGCUCGAGUCAGACUCCACAACGUAGUCCCUCAACCUCUCCUGCUCCUGUGUACCUCCUUGACUGUUCUGUGCCCCGUUUUCUUCAGUCUCUUUCUGCCGAUACAUCGGGGCCGAUUCGGUGGAACGGCAUGGCGUCAAUCUGAUCAGCCGAUCAAAAUUACUACACACCAUAAGGAACGGAUAAACCAGGAACAGACCUGGAUGGAGAAUACAUUUAGCUGUAGUGGGGGCAAAACAUUUCUGAAAUUUGACGGAAUUUAAGCGCAGGGUUAUCCAACACGUUCUCCAGCCUUGACUAUGUUCUCCUGGGAAAAAAAAACAAAAAUCGUCGCCAGUUGUUGUUCACUUUGGAAAUAUCUUUGGCACGUCUUUCGUGAGCUGCCACAAGCUAUGAACGUGUCAGAACACAUCGGAAGGCUCUGAGUCUGAGGUGCUACGAACAGAACAAGAUUCAAGGUCUCCUUCUAUUCCUCGACGUCACGUGCCCCAUGCACUGACCAGAGCUUCAGAACCAACUCCACAUCAGGCCAGACGGAGGAGUCAAACUCUGAUUUGCCAGUGUCCAGGCAGUGCCGGGGAAAACCUGGGCUUGCAAGAAUGGGGUCCAUGUUGGGACGAGUCAGGUCUCACCAAAAGCCCUUCUGACAAGACUCCUUUGGCUCAAAGGCGCAGCACCACAGAGAUUAACCCACUGCCCUCUCACCCACAAGCGUCUUCAGCAGUGACACUCCAUCAUGGCCAGUCUCCUGCAUAACAGUUUAAAAACCGGACCCCGCAUGGAUCAAGUCCCUCACCAGUGCAACAAGCUGCUCAGUCCAGUUUUUUUUUGUUGUUGUUUUGACACAAUAGCGCGGCAGUGGACCGACACAGUUCUGUGGCUUUGACUCCAGAGUCCACAGACCUUUCCAGAGAGAUGACCUCAGCUGUUUGCAACGUCUCUGUGUUUUCCAAAACUCCAUCAGAGCCUGUUCUGCAUCACCACACGGACAAAAGCUGCAGAAACCAAACCCUUUUGUGACAGAAUCAGAGAACAAUGUACCUUCUGUUCGCUCUCAUCUGCCUAAACAUCACAGGGCCAUCAGUACCUACACACAAUGUGGAGUUAACUCCUGCCAUGUGCACGUGUGGCAUGACUGCGCUGGUUUUAGUCGAAUAGCUAGAUAGCAUGAGCAUGCUAAUGGUUGGAUUUUCCGACUGAGUAAAGUCAAAUUCAAUUCAAAUUUCAAUAGUUCCAGAGCUGAAAACAAUGUGACAAUGUGGCGGUUGUUCCCAAGUGGCGUCUUGGAGCACAUCCUUUAUACAAGCUUCCCGCCCAACCCCUCCACCAUAACAGCGCUGGUUCUAAUCUACAGCGUCCACAGGGGACGGAUGAUGAGAGAUUACAGCCGCCGACCACGCCUCCAGUCACUUCAAACAUAAACGCCACAGAAACGGCUUAUGAUGGUCCCGUUGGUGCUCGUGAUUCAAACGUCGAGCUAAGUCCGAGCCAGAGACUCGUCAACUCACGGUGGCGGCAGGAGCAACCCCGAGCAGCAGCGACGGUCCUCGGAUGGCUGGAUCACAGCUCCCGCCCGCCUGCAUCGUCCUGCCCGCAGCUCUCCCUGAACUCUCUGGACGAGCGGCGGCGGCUCGCGCCCGCUUCCCUCGUUGUUAAAGCGACGCACCGAGUGUCGCAGCUGAGCCGGACCCGACUAAUCACAACAGCGUCGAGAAGGCUCGUCAUGAAUAUUACAUUCUCAACGCGAAAAUAGCAGUCGAGCUGCGUUUCUCUGGAGACGCGACCGACUUCAGAGGCUUUACGUCAAGUGUUUCUUCGUCAUAGUUUGAGAUGCGCGACAACAUAAUAGAAUCUCAGCUCGAAACGCUAUUGAAAUAAUAAAUAAAUAAUAACAAAACUAUCCUCAAAUCAUAA